CGCGGCCUAUCAGCUUGUUGGUGGGGUAAUGGCCUACCAAGGCUUCGACGGGUAGCUGGUCUGAGAGGACGAUCAGCCACACUGGGACUGAGACACGGCCCAGACUCCUACGGGAGGCAGCAGUGGGGAAUCUUGCACAAUGGGCGAAAGCCUGAUGCAGCAACGCCGCGUGGAGGACGAAUGCUUUCUGAGUUGUAAACUCCUUUCAGCAGGGACGAUUGUGACGGUACCUGCAGAAGAAGCACCGGCCAACUACGUGCCAGCAGCCGCGGUGAUACGUAGGGUGCAAGCGUUGUCCGGAUUUAUUGGGCGUAAAGAGCUCGUAGGCGGUUUGAUAAGUCGGAUGUGAAAUCUCCAGGCUCAACCUGGAGCUGCCAUUCGAUACUGUCAUGACUUGAGGCCGGUAGGGGACCAUGGAAUUCCUAGUGUAGCGGUGAAAUGCGCAGAUAUUAGGAGGAACACCAGCAGCGAAGGCGGUGGUCUGGGCCGGUACUGACGCUGAGGAGCGAAAGCGUGGGGAGCGAACAGGAUUAGAUACCCUGGUAGUCCACGCCGUAAACGUUGGGCACUAGGUGUGGGGACUAUUCAACGGUCUCCGUGCCGCAGCUAACGCAUUAAGUGCCCCGCCUGGGGAGUA
rnacentral:rRNA from 1 species